rnacentral:rRNA from 1 species
CGGACGGAGCUGUCAGAAGCUUUUGGGAAUCAGUCGAAUGAUGCGCGAAAAUGCUUUGCCUCGGAACGUAAGUCCGAACUUGGCGUUAGUAGCAUUCGCUCGAUGCAUUUCCUGAAGGUUAGCAUUGCAACCGAUACGAAAGGCCAGCGAGGCGAUUGGAUUGAGGUCGAAACCCGUGAGGGUAUCGCUACCAGUCCUUUCGUAGUAAUCGUUGGACCGCAGUAUGUAUCGAAAGCCUAGUAAAUUGUACGUCGGUAGUAAGGCUCGCCGAGUAGCGGAUAGUGAAUUAAUUAGUUGGUACUUGCUCGCAGGUGCUGAUGAAGUUGGUUCGCUCAGAAGUUACCGGUGACAUUUAGACGUAUUGGCGUUAGCAGUGUCAGUGUCAGUCACCCGUCCGACCCGUCUUGAAACACGGACCAAGGAGUCUAACAUAUGCGCGAGCCAAUGAGUGGAAAACUCAAAGGCGCAAUGAAAGUAAACGCUGUCUACGACGGCUGAGGUACGAUCCCGGGGAUGAUACCCUCGGGCGCAGUACUGUCCCAUCUCGACUGCAUGUCAGUGGGGUGGAGAUAGAGUGCAUACGUUGGGACCCGAAAGAUGGUGAACUAUGCCUGAGCAGAGCGAAGCCAGAGGAAACUCUGGUGGAGGUUCGUAGCGGUUCUGACGUGCAAAUCGAUCGUCAGACUUGGGUAUAGGGGCGAAAGACUAAUCGAACCAUCUA